GUGCCAGCCGCCGCGGUAAUACAGAGGGUGCAAGCGUUGUUCGGAAUUACUGGGCGUAAAGCGCGCGUAGGCGGCAUCUCAAGUCUGACGGUGAAAGGCCGGGGCUCAACCCCGCGCUUGCCGGAGAUACUGGGGAGCUAGAGACAUGUAGAGGCGAGUGGAAUUUCGGGUGUAGCGGUGGAAUGCGUAGAUAUCCGAAAGAACACCAGAGGCGAAGGCGGCUCGCUGGGCAUGAUCUGACGCUGAGGCGCGAAAGCGUGGGGAGCAAACAGGAUUAGAAACCCCAGUAGUCC
rnacentral:rRNA from 1 species